AACAAUACACAUAAAUAGAAAACCUCAAAACAGGAGAGUAGGUGUGCGGCCACCAAAUGCACAUCUAUGAGUUUUUCGCUGUUGGUUUCUCCUUCCCUUUUUUUCUUUGAUAUUUUUUUACUUUUGGUGAGAGAAUAUGACAUUUUAAUUAAAAC
rnacentral:ribozyme from 12 species